CUGAGUGAUGACCUUUUCCGACCGGGCGGACAUACCAAGUAUCGGUGGGCCACGCUCCGCGUAGUCGCGCUCCCUGUGUACAAAAUUUUGGGGGCGCUGGCCGGCCGAGAAUUGAUGAAUGGUCGUGAGACAGCUGACU
rnacentral:snoRNA from 1 species